GACAGAGGGUGCAAACGUUGUUCGGAAUUACUGGGCGUAAAGCGCACGUAGGCGGAUUGUUAAGUCGGGGGUGAAAUCCUGGAGCUCAACUCCAGAACUGCCUUCGAUACUGGCGAUCUCGAGUUCGGGAGAGGUGAGUGGAACUGCGAGUGUAGAGGUGAAAUUCGUAGAUAUUCGCAAGAACACCAGUGGCGAAGGCGGCUCACUGGCCCGAUACUGACGCUGAGGUGCGAAAGCGUGGGGAGCAAACAGG
rnacentral:rRNA from 1 species